UACGUAGGGUCCAAGCGUUAAUCGGAAUUACUGGGCGUAAAGCGUGCGUAGGCGGUCUCGCAAGUCCGAUGUGAAAUCCCCGGGCUUAACCUGGGAACUGCGUUGGAAACUACGAGGCUAGAGUGCGGCAGAGGGGGGUGGAAUUCCAGGUGUAGCAGUGAAAUGCGUAGAUAUCGGGAGGAACACCAGUGGCGAAGGCGGCUUCCUGGACCAGUACUGACGCUGAGGCGCGAAAGCUAGGGGAGCAAACAGG
rnacentral:rRNA from 1 species